CGGUAAUUCCAGCUCCAAUAGCGUAUAUUAAGAGUGUGUUGCAAGUUAAAACGCUCGUAGUUGGAUAUCUGUCAGCGCACGGUGCUCCGCCCAAGCGGUGUGUAGUCAUUAGUGUGCUGGCAUCAUCCUGGGGAGUGCAUCUGCACUUCACUGUGUGGGGUACGAGCCAGGACAUUUACUUUGAGGAAAUGAGAGUGUUUCAAGCAGACGUCCGCCAUGAAUACGUUAGCAUGGAAUAAUAGUAUCGGACCUCGUCCCAAAGCUGUUGGUUUCUUGGGUCGAGGUAAAGGUGAAUAGGGAUUGUUGGGGGCAUUCGUAUUUAACUGUCAGAGGUGAAAUUCUUGGAUUUGUUGAAGACGCACUACUGCGAAAGCAUCUGCCAAAGAUGUUCUCAUUGAUCAAGAACGAAAGUUAGGUGAUCGAAGACGAUCAGAUACCGUCCUAGUCUUAACCAUAAACUAUGCCGACUGGAGAUGGGGGGUCGUUACUGUUAUGACGCCUUCUGCAUCUUGAGAGAAAUCAAAGUCUUUGGGUUCCGGGGGGAGUAUGGUCGCAAGGCUGAAACUUAAAGGAAUUGACGGAAGGGCACCACCAGGAGUGGAGCCUGCGGCUUAAUUUGACUCAACACGGGGAAACUUACCAGGUCCAGACAUAGAGAGGAUUGACAGACUGAUAGCUCUUUCGAGAUUCUAUGGGUGGUGGUGCAUGGCCGUUCUUAGUUGGUGGAGUGAUUUGUCUGGUUAAUUCCGUUAACGAACGAGACCUUAGCCUGCUAAAUAGGUUCCAGAACUUCGUGUUCGAGGAUGCCUUCUUAGAGGGACGUCGCGUGUCUAACGCUAGGAAGUGUGAGGCAAUAACAGGUCUGUGAUGCCCUUAGAUGUUCUGGGCUGCACGCGCGCUACACUGAUGCGUUCAACGAGUAUUUGUCCUGUUUCGAAAGGAAUGGGCAAUCUUGUGAAAACGCAUCGUGAUGGGGAUAGAUUAUUGCAAUUGUUAAUCUUCAACGAGGAAUUCCUAGUAAGCGCGAGUCAUCAACUCGUGCUGAUUACGUCCCUGCCCUUUGUACACACCGCCCGUCGCUCCUACCGAUUGAGUGGUCCGGUGAAUAACUCGGACUUCGGGGUCUUCAGUUCUGAUGCGCCCUGAAGGAAGUUUAGUGAACCUUAUCACUUAGAGGAAGGAGAAGUCGUAACAAGGUAACC
rnacentral:rRNA from 1 species